rnacentral:lncRNA from 1 species
AAAAUCAUAUAUUUCUGAAGGUAACUGAGAACUACAGCAGUCAUAGUAGAUUCCAAAGGAUUCAUAAAUGGAAAACCUCCCAUAGGAUGCAUACCAAACAGUCUGAGCACAGACAUACAAAAGCACUACCAUAAAAGACGAGCAGAGUUCACAACUAGGUAGUUUUCAUUGGGCCAGAGUUUUCGAAACAUGGCCAAAGGACAUCCCACAGCGAUGAGAUUCCACUGCCUUCAGCUUCUCUAUCGGAUUCAGGUGAUUGCAGUCUUCGAAGUUCAGCCCACAUUUCUUCCCCAUAGUGACAAUAUGUGCCGCUGUCAGGGAGUUUAGAAAGUGGACAUCUGCCUCUAAUAAAGCUUCCCCAAUCAACUCGAGUGAUUUGAUCUUU